GUCGAGCGAAUGGAUUAAGAGCUUGCUCUUAUGAAGUUAGCGGCGGACGGGUGAGUAACACGUGGGUAACCUGCCCAUAAGACUGGGAUAACUCCGGGAAACCGGGGCUAAUACCGGAUAACAUUUUGAACCGCAUGGUUCGAAAUUGAAAGGCGGCUUCGGCUGUCACUUAUGGAUGGACCCGCGUCGCAUUAGCUAGUUGGUGAGGUAACGGCUCACCAAGGCAACGAUGCGUAGCCGACCUGAGAGGGUGAUCGGCCACACUGGGACUGAGACACGGCCCAGACUCCUACGGGAGGCAGCAGUAGGGAAUCUUCCGCAAUGGACGAAAGUCUGACGGAGCAACGCC
rnacentral:rRNA from 1 species